UACGUAGGGGGCAAGCGUUGUCCGGAUUUAUUGGGCGUAAAGAGCGUGUAGGCGGCCGUACAGGUCAGCUGUGAAAACUCGAGGCUCAACCUCGAGACGUCGGUUGAAACCGUACGGCUAGAGUCCGGAAGAGGAGAGUGGAAUUCCCGGUGUAGCGGUGAAAUGCGCAGAUAUCGGGAAGAACACCCGUGGCGAAGGCGGCUCUCUGGGACGGUACUGACGCUGAGGUGCGAAAGCGUGGGGAGCAAACAGG
rnacentral:rRNA from 1 species